AGUGAACGCUGGCGGUAGGCCUAACACAUGCAAGUCGAACGGCAGCACUGUUAGCGCUUGCUCUUCCGGGUUGCGAGUGGCGUGCGGGUGACGUAUACAUCGGACUCUAUUUUUUCGUGGGGGCUAACGUAGCUAAACUUACUCUAAUACCUCAUACUCCCUUCGGUUGAAAGCUGGGGAUCUUCUGCCCUUUCGCGUUUGCAUGCGCCGUUGUGGCAUUUGAUAGUUGGGGGGGUCAAGGCCCACCAAGGCGACGAUCCGUAGCUGGACUGAGAGGAUGAUAGGCCACACUGGAACGGAGACACGGUCCAGACUACUAAGGGAGGGAGCAGUGGGGAAUAUUGGACAAUGGGCGCAAGCAUGAUACAGCGAGAGCGCGUGGGUGAAGAAGACGUUGGGGUUGUAAAGACCGUUUGUUGGGUAAGAAAAGCAGCAGGUUAAGACGCAGCUGUUGUGACGGUACCCAAAGAAUAAGCACCGGCUAACUUCGUG
rnacentral:rRNA from 1 species